AGCUUUUUGGAAAUAUAAAAAGUUAAGCCUGCCCUAUGAAAUUAAAUUAAAUGGCCGCAGUACUUUGACUGUGCUAAGGUAGCAUAAUAAAUUGACUUUUAAUUGGGGCCUUGAAUGAAAGGUAAUAUGAAUAUUUACUGUCUUUAGUUUAUUAAUUAAAAUUUACUAAAAAGGUGAAAAUUCCUUUAUAUUAUUUAAAAAGACGAGAAGACCCUAGGAGUUUAUAUUAAUGUUUUGUUGGGGCGACACUACAACAGAUAUAACUUGUAGUAUUAGUUAAUAUAAAGCGAUUGUUUUAAAAGUAGUUAAGCUACCCUAGGGAUAACAGCAUAAUUUCAUAAGUAAGUUUGUGACCUCGAUGUUGGACUAGGGACUUUUAAUAUUAACAAUAUUAAAAAUUUGUUCUGUUCGAACAUUAUUUCCUACAU
rnacentral:rRNA from 1 species